ensembl:lncRNA
AAUGCACACAUUCAUUCAAGUUACAGACCAUGUAACUAAGCAUAGGACCACUAGACAAAGCAAGUGCAACAAUAUCCGUAGGAUAGUUAUGGGUAUCAUAACCUAUGGGAGCUUGUACGGAAUAAAUGUUGGCAUUUGUGAUUCUAAUCCGGGUGGUUUUGAAGCGGUAUGGUUCAGUAAUGUGGUUGUGCAUUUGUUGAGAAAGUUUAUAGCAUGUGUUUGUGUUGAACUAGCAUGAUAGGUGAGGUUCGCAAUAGCGCUAAUGUGAGUUUCAGUUUGCUAGCUAGCAAGACAGCUCAUGUUUUUUUGGUCAACAGAAAUGUUUGGUGUACCCGUGAAGGUAGUCAGUUGUUUGCAGCUGGGAGUCGUUAGCUACUGUAGGGCUGAUAAGUUGUUUUGCUCAUGGGCCGGAACAUUUUGUGUUUACUGUUUUGGCAGCUUUUGUUAGUGCUGUUUGCAGGAUUACAUUACCCAGUUUGGAGUCAGUGGCGCGUGUAUUAGUGUUAGCGUUAGGCUCGUGGCAAAUGUUUGCUAUGGUACGUAGCUUUGGUAAAUCAGGGUGUGUUAGUGCUAAGCUAGUGGCUAACCUUGGCUAUGGUUUGUAGCGUUUGUGCAUGGCAUGCUGGUUUAGAUUUGAAUGGAUAUGUCUGGAUCUUGGAACGCAUGCAUGUAUAGGUUGGUUAGCAGUGAGCUAAUGGCUACCUGUGACUUUUGUCAGUCGAUUUAUUAGUUCUGUUUAACCUAUUGAUUUUGACUAUGGGUGCAUUUGAGCCAGCAGUGUUUUGUGCUGAUUGUAGGGGAUAGUUUGGGUUUUUCUCAAUCUAAUGAAGGAGACCACGAAGAUCUCCCCCACAACACGAGCCCGAGGGGGGCGCAAAACCCGACAGGAAGAUCACGUCACUGACUCAACCCACUCAAAUAGUAUAGCGGGGGAAAACGCCUGGUAUGAUGUGGUGCACCCUUCCUAGGAAUGGCAUGGGAGAGCGCGAGCAAGCCAAUGACUCAGUCCUCAUAACAGGGUCAGAGGCAGAGAGGGGAGCCAGACAGGCAGAGACAGCAAGGGUGGUUCGUCACUCCAGUGCCUUGCAGUUCACCUUCGCACCUGGGGGCCAGACUACACUCAAUCAUAGGACCUACGUCUUCAGUAAAGACUUAAAGGUUGAGACCGAGUCUGCGUCUCUCACAUGGAUCGGAAGACCAUUCCAUAAAAAUGGAACUCUCUAGGAGAAAGCCCUGCCUUCAGCUGUUUACUUGGAAAUUCUUUGAACAAUAAUGAGGAAUGCGUCUUGUAACCGUAGCGUACAUGUAGGUAUGUACGGCAGGACCAAAUCGGAGAGAUGGGUGGGAGGAAGGUCCAUGUAAAGCUUUGUAGGUUAACAGUAAAAACUUGAAAUUAAGCCUUAACAGGAAGUCAGUAAUAUGAUCAAAUGUUUUGGUUCUUGUCAAGAUUCUAGCAGUUGUAUUUAGAAUUUGCCAACUUUUAUUUAGUGCAUUAUCUGGGUAGCCGGAGACUAGAGCAUUGCAGUAAUCUGAUCUUGAAAGGACAAAAGCAUGGAUGAGCUUUUCUGCAUCAUUUUUGGACAAAUAUUUUGCAUUUUUGCGAUGUUACUGAGAUGGAAAAAAUAGUAAUGACAAGGUCUUUCAGUUUUAUUUGAGACAGCCAUCGAGAUUCAUUGUCAGAUCCGACAGCAGAUCUCUUUGUUUCUUGGGACCUAGAACAAGCAUUUCCGUUUGGUCCGAGUUCAAAAGUAAAGCAUUUGCCGACAUCCACUUCCUUAUGUCUGAAACACAGGCUUCCAGGCUAGAUCAUUUUGGGGCUUCACCAUGUCAUACUGAAAUGUACAUCUGUGUGUCUUCUGCAUACCAGUGAAAGUUGACAUUGUGUUUCCUAAUGACAUCACCAAGAGGUAGCAUAUAUAGUGGAAACAAUGGUGGUCAUAGGACAGAAGGUUGAGGAACACUGAAACUUACCAUUGAUUUAUCAGAGGACAAACCACCCACAGGGACAAACUGAUAUAUUUCCAACAGAUAAGAUCUAAACCAGGCAAGAACUUGUCCGAGUAGACCAAUUAGGGUUUCUGAUAUCUCCAAAGGAAUGUGGUGAUUGAUGGUGUCCAAAGCGCCACUGAGGUUUAGGAGUAUGGAAACAGAUGCAGAGCUUUGGUCUGACGCCAUUGUAACGUCAUUUACCACCUUCACGAGCGCCGUCUCAGUACUAUGAUGUGGUCUAAAACCAGACUGGAGCUUUUUGUAUACCUUAUUUGUCUAUAAGAAGGCAGUGAGCAACAGCUUUUCUCAUGUUUUUGAGAGGAAUGGGAGAAUCCAUAUAGGCUGAUAGUAAAAUAUUUCCGGGUUGAGGUUUGGCUUUUUUUACUGCCACUUUUAGUGAGUUUGGGACACAUCCAUAGGAUAGGAAAGACAAAAAGACUCACAGCUGUAAUCGCUGCCAAAGGUGAUUCUAACAUGUAUUGACUCUGGGGUGAAGAGUGUGCAAAGCCGUCAUCAAGGCAAAGGGUGGCUACUUUGAAGAAUCUCAAAUAUCAAAUAUAUUUGGUUCGCUUAACACUUUUUGGGUUACUACAUGAUUCCAUAUGUUACAUUAUAGUUUUGAUGUCUUCACUGUUACUCUAAAAUAUAGAAG